rnacentral:rRNA from 1 species
GAUGAACGCUGGCGGCGUGCCUAAUACAUGCAAGUCGAGCGAACGGACGAGAAGCUUGCUUUUCUGAUGUUAGCGGCGGACGGGUGAGUAACACGUGGAUAACCUACCUAUAAGACUGGGAUAACUUCGGGAAACCGGAGCUAAUACCGGAUAAUAUUUUGAACCGCAUGGUUCAAAAGUGAAAGACGGCCUUGCUGUCACUUAUAGAUGGAUCCGCGCUGCAUUAGCUAGUUGGUAAGGUAACGGCUUACCAAGGCGACGAUGCAUAGCCGACCUGAGAGGGUGAUCGGCCACACUGGAACUGAGACACGGACCAGACUCCUACGGGAGGCAGCAGUAGGGAAUCUUCCGCAAUGGGCGAAAGCCUGACGGAGCAACGCCGCGUGAGUGAUGAAGGUCUUCGGAUCGUAAAACUCUGUUAUUAGGGAAGAACAUAUGUGUAAGUAACUGUGCACAUCUUGACGGUACCUAAUCAGAAAGCCACGGCUAACUACGUG